UGUGAAAGGACACAGUAUUUCUCAUCCUGU
rnacentral:piRNA from 1 species